UACAGAGGUGGCAAGCGUUGUUCGGAAUUACUGGGCGUAAAGGGCGCGUAGGCGGUCUUGUAAGUCUUGUGUGAAAUCCCUCGGCUUAACUGAGGAACUGCACGGGAUACUGCGAGACUUGAGUUCGGGAGAGGGAAGCGGAAUUCCGGGUGUAGCGGUGAAAUGCGUAGAUAUCCGGAGGAACACCGGUGGCGAAGGCGGUUCUCUGGGACGGUACUGACGCUGAGACGCGAAAGCGUGGGGAGCGAACAGG
rnacentral:rRNA from 1 species